rnacentral:rRNA from 1 species
UACGUAGGGUGCAAGCGUUAUUCGGAAUUACUGGGCGUAAAGCGUGCGCAGGCGGCUUUGCAAGUCAGAUGUGAAAUCCCCGGGCUUAACCUGGGAACUGCAUUUGUGACUGCAUGGCUGGAGUGCGGCAGAGGGGGAUGGAAUUCCGCGUGUAGCAGUGAAAUGCGUAGAUAUGCGGAGGAACACCGAUGGCGAAGGCAGUCCCCUGGGCCUGCACUGACGCUGAUGCACGAAAGCGUGGGGAGCAAACAGG